GGGCCCGUCGUCUAGCUUGGUUAGGACGUCGCCCUGACGCGGCGAAAAUCCUGGGUUCAAGUCCCAGCGGGCCCA
rnacentral:tRNA from 1 species